CACAAGACCAGCUCUCCUCUCCUUGUGCUGAACAUAAGAACAGCCCUGCUGGAUCAGGCACAAGGUCCAUCUAGUCCAGCAUCCUGUUUCACACAAUGGCCCACCAGAUGCCUUUGGGGAGACCACAGGCAAGAGCUGAAGGCUCGAGGCUCCAUAUUGAUGGGCUAAUAUUGACACAGGACUGGUUUGGACAACACCAUUCAUGAUACAGUACAUGUCUUACCUCUUCCAGACAUGCUGUUCAGCUCUGUAUAAUUGCAUGGGGGAUGGAUCAGCGAAACCACCUUUCACCAUUUACUGAAGGAACACUUUCUGGGACUGAAUUGUACAGCUGUAAUCAUUUCAUGCCUGCUUGGAGAACCCACAUAAUUUGGAAGCCUCAUAACAAGAAGACGGUACUGUGAAGAUCCUUGAAACCUUUUCAGCUUGACAUCAACCAAAUGGACCAUGUUUCUGUAAAACCACUGCUAACUGUGAAAUUUUAGCAAGAGGUAAUCCUGACUGCAUGCAUUUGGAAGGGAUUACUACAUGAAAGGGAGGGGAAAGGGUUGGUAUGUUGCAACCAGUCUCUUUCGCUAUACAAGCCAAGGUGGCAUCAGUACUUUAAAUGUUGCAAAAUGUCAGCCAAGUUAGCAGGUGUUUUUUGGUUCACUACUGGGGUUGGCAACAGAAGAAUACAAAAGAUGCAGGGAGGGGGAGGAUACAGUGAAGACUGGCGGGUUUUUAUGUAUGUGAAAGAAUACUAUGGAAUAGAUAUGCAAAAAUACGAUUUAGAUUUUUUUAAAAAAUAGUACUGCUGUAAUUCUUAACAAUAUCAUUUAAAGUAGUAGUCUUUGCUCCCUCUCUCUCUCCCAGUAGCAACUGCCAAUUGACAGCACUAUGGGGAAUGCAGGAAUGCUUGUCUAAAAACCAUUCAAAAGGAGUUUUAGAAGCCAUUAAAAAGAAAUAUAACACAA